rnacentral:lncRNA from 1 species
CGAUUUGCUCCUCCCUUGCAGUUGUCUGCCCCUGCGCUGUGCCCAAACUCAGCUCUAAGCUAUCGAAAACUAGGGUUAGGAUUUCCUUAGGUGAUCAGAGUUUCACAACCUCCAAACUGUCAGAAACCUGGGGAAGAAAAGGCUCACUAGGUUGAAUGCAUAUAGGUUCACGAAGAUUGAGCUUGAUCUCAACGAAGACCCCCAUGAUCGUUGGGAGACUAACAGUAGUACAACCGUACAAACAUUCACAAACUAUAAUAUAUAAAAUUAGAAUAUUCUACCCCAAAAUAGAAUAUUUUAAAGCCGAUCGGCUAUACUCUAAAAAUAUGAUAUCUUAAAAUUAUAGUCG